AUGAACCCUUCAUUUCAGUCCUACCAGCAAGUCAGCAGUACAUGGGGCAUUCUGGCCGCAUCAGGACGCAUUUGACAAUGUCUGGUCCAAUUCUUGUCCAGAAACCACUGAUGGCUGUGCCAGUAAGGCUGCUGCAUUCUUCCCAUGGUCAAGACAUAAAAGGCAUUCUACCAUCUUGACCUUGCACUCUCGGGGAAGCCAGCCACAUUGUCAAUUAAUACUGGAUAUACCCAAUGGAGAAGACCAUGAAGUGAGGGUCUAAGGACCCCUGACCACAGUCAACAUUCAUCUGAGUCCUAAAAGAGACUCUUUGCUCCAGUCCCUCCAGCCUGAGUCUCCUCUUUAGUGAUUGUAACCUCGGAUGCCAUCUUGACUGCAACAACCAGCCAGAACCACCCAGCUAGGCCAUUCCCAGAUCCCUGACCCAGAGAAGCUGUGUGAGAUAAUGGGACCUGGGCCUUGAACAAGGUAUAAACGAUCCCCAUGUCGUCUUGGAAGAAUAAGUAAACAGCCUUUUCCAGAAUGGCAGCAGCCCGAUGCAUGGAGAUAGGCUCUUAUUUGUGAGAAAUCUCAUAUUUAGAUGGGAGCCUGCCCACACAGAGAUGUGCUCUCACCUGUCCUGCCCAGGCAACAGGUUCCAGGGGCCCUGCAUGCAGCUCCUGGUGACAGUGGAGGUGGGGGGGGGGGGGCGCUGACUUAUCAUUACCUCUUUAAUCCCUAGCAUCUAUAUUAUUACAUUGUUCAACUCACUGGAAGAAGAAUUUGGGGUCCUGUUUAAAUUGGG